CCUACGGGGGACAGCAGUGAGGAAUAUUGGUCAAUGGCCGGAAGGCUGAACCAGCCAUGCCGCGUGAAGGUCAGUGCCCUCUGGGCGUUAAACUUCUUUUGUGCGGGAGCAAUAAUGGUCACGUGUGGCCAGACGAGAGUACCGUACGAAUAAGCAUCGACUCACUCCGUGCCAGCAGCCGCGGUAAUACGGGGAGGCAAGCCUUAACCGGAAUUUUUGGGUUUAAAGGGUGCCUAGGCUGUGAGGUUAGUGAGCGGUGAAAUGCCCCCGCUCAACGGGCUGAAGUGCCAUUGAUACUGCCUUGCUGGAAUGCGGAUGCGGUGGGAGGAAUGUGUGGUGUAGCGGUGAAAUGCAUAGAUAUCACACAGAACACCGAUUGCGAAGGCAUCUCACGAAUCCGCGAUUGACGCUGAUGCACGAAAGCGUGGGUAUCAAACAGGAUUAGAUACCCCUGUAGUC
rnacentral:rRNA from 1 species